UUUACGGAGAGUUUGAUCCUGGCUCAGGAUGAACGCUGGCGGCGUGCUUAACACAUGCAAGUCGAACGGUGAAGCCAAGCUUGCUUGGUGGAUCAGUGGCGAACGGGUGAGUAACACGUGAGCAACCUGCCCUGAACUCUGGGAUAAGCGCUGGAAACGGCGUCUAAUACUGGAUAUGAGCUGCGGAGGCAUCUUCGUGGUUGGAAAGAUUUUUCGGUUUGGGAUGGGCUCGCGGCCUAUCAGCUUGUUGGUGAGGUAAUGGCUCACCAAGGCGUCGACGGGUAGCCGGCCUGAGAGGGUGACCGGCCACACUGGGACUGAGACACGGCCCAGACUCCUACGGGAGGCAGCAGUGGGGAAUAUUGCACAAUGGGCGGAAGCCUGAUGCAGCAACGCCGCGUGAGGGAUGACGGCCUUCGGGUUGUAAACCUCUUUUAGCAGGGAAGAAGCGAAAGUGACGGUACCUGCAGAAAAAGCGCCGGCUAACUACGUGCCAGCAGCCGCGGUAAUACGUAGGGCGCAAGCGUUAUCCGGAAUUAUUGGGCGUAAAGAGCUCGUAGGCGGUUUGUCGCGUCUGCUGUGAAAACCCGAGGCUCAACCUCGGGCCUGCAGUGGGUACGGGCAGACUAGAGUGCGGUAGGGGAGAUUGGAAUUCCUGGUGUAGCGGUGGAAUGCGCAGAUAUCAGGAGGAACACCGAUGGCGAAGGCAGAUCUCUGGGCCGUAACUGACGCUGAGGAGCGAAAGGGUGGGGAGCAAACAGGCUUAGAUACCCUGGUAGUCCACCCCGUAAACGUUGGGAACUAGUUGUGGGGUCCAUUCCACGGAUUCCGUGACGCAGCUAACGCAUUAAGUUCCCCGCCUGGGGAGUACGGCCGCAAGGCUAAAACUCAAAGGAAUUGACGGGGACCCGCACAAGCGGCGGAGCAUGCGGAUUAAUUCGAUGCAACGCGAAGAACCUUACCAAGGCUUGACAUACACGAGAACGCUGCAGAAAUGUAGAACUCUUUGGACACUCGUGAACAGGUGGUGCAUGGUUGUCGUCAGCUCGUGUCGUGAGAUGUUGGGUUAAGUCCCGCAACGAGCGCAACCCUCGUUCUAUGUUGCCAGCACGUAAUGGUGGGAACUCAUGGGAUACUGCCGGGGUCAACUCGGAGGAAGGUGGGGAUGACGUCAAAUCAUCAUGCCCCUUAUGUCUUGGGCUUCACGCAUGCUACAAUGGCCGGUACAAAGGGCUGCAAUACCGCGAGGUGGAGCGAAUCCCAAAAAGCCGGUCCCAGUUCGGAUUGAGGUCUGCAACUCGACCUCAUGAAGUCGGAGUCGCUAGUAAUCGCAGAUCAGCAACGCUGCGGUGAAUACGUUCCCGGGUCUUGUACACACCGCCCGUCAAGUCAUGAAAGUCGGUAACACCUGAAGCCGGUGGCCCAACCCUUGUGGAGGGAGCCGUCGAAGGUGGGAUCGGUAAUUAGGACUAAGUCGUAACAAGGUAGCCGUACCGGAAGGUGCGGCUGGAUCACCUCCUUU
rnacentral:rRNA from 1 species